rnacentral:rRNA from 1 species
ACGUAGGGGGCGAGCGUUGUCCGGAAUUAUUGGGCGUAAAGCGCGCGCAGGCGGCCGAUUAAGUCAGGUGUGAAAGGCUGCGGCUCAACCGCAGAGUUGCAUCUGAAACUGGUCGGCUUGAGUGCAGGAGAGGGGAGCGGAAUCCCCGGUGUAGCGGUGGAAUGCGUAGAGAUCGGGAGGAACACCAGUGGCGAAGGCGGCUCCCUGGCCUGUAACUGACGCUGAGGCGCGAAAGCGUGGGGAGCGAACAGUA